GACGAACGCUGGCGGCGUGCCUAAUACAUGCAAGUAGAACGCUGAAGGAGGAGCUUGCUUCUCUGGAUGAGUUGCGAACGGGUGAGUAACGCGUAGGUAACCUGCCUGGUAGCGGGGGAUAACUAUUGGAAACGAUAGCUAAUACCGCAUAAUAUUUACUAUUGCAUGAUAGUCAGUUGAAAGGUGCAACUGCACCACUACCAGAUGGACCUGCGUUGUAUUAGCUAGUUGGUGGGGUAACGGCUCACCAAGGCGACGAUACAUAGCCGACCGGAGAGGGGGAUCGGCCAAACUGGGACUGAGACACGGCCCAGACUCCUACGGGAGGCAGCAGUAGGGAAUCUUCGGGAAUGGACGGAAGUCUGAACGAGCAACGCCGCGGGAGGGAAGAAGGGUUUCGGGUCGGAAAGCUCUGUUGUAAGAGAAGAAAGAGUGUGAGAGUGGAAAGCUCACACUGUGACGGUACCUUACCAGAAAGGGACGGCUAACUACGUG
rnacentral:rRNA from 1 species